UACAUGGGGUGCAAACGUUGCUCGGAAUCAUUGGGCGUAAAGCGCGCGUAGGCGGUUACUUAAGUCGAAUGUGAGAGCCCUCGGCUUAACCGAGGAAGUGCAUCCGAAACUGAGUAGCUAGAGUACGAAAGAGGGUCGCGGAAUUCCCGGUGUAGAGGUGAAAUUCGUAGAUAUCGGGAGGAACACCGGUGGCGAAGGCGGCGACCUGGGUCGAGACUGACGCUGAGGCGCGAAAGCGUGGGGAGCAAACAGG
rnacentral:rRNA from 1 species